rnacentral:rRNA from 1 species
AGAGUUUGAUCCUGGCUCAGAUUGAACGCUGGCGGCAGGCUUAACACAUGCAAGUCGAGCGGGGGAAGGUAGCUUGCUACCUAACCUAGCGGCGGACGGGUGAGUAAUGCUUAGGAAUCUGCCUAUUAGUGGGGGACAACAUUCCGAAAGGAAUGCUAAUACCGCAUACGUCCUACGGGAGAAAGCAGGGGAUCUUCGGACCUUGCGCUAAUAGAUGAGCCUAAGUCGGAUUAGCUAGUUGGUGGGGUAAAGGCCUACCAAGGCGACGAUCUGUAGCGGGUCUGAGAGGAUGAUCCGCCACACUGGGACUGAGACACGGCCCAGACUCCUACGGGAGGCAGCAGUGGGGAAUAUUGGACAAUGGGCGGAAGCCUGAUCCAGCCAUGCCGCGUGUGUGAAGAAGGCCUUAUGGUUGUAAAGCACUUUAAGCGAGGAGGAGGCUACUCUAGUUAAUACCUAGAGAUAGUGGACGUUACUCGCAGAAUAAGCACCGGCUAACUCUGUGCCAGCAGCCGCGGUAAUACAGAGGGUGCGAGCGUUAAUCGGAUUUACUGGGCGUAAAGCGUGCGUAGGCGGCUGAUUAAGUCGGAUGUGAAAUCCCUGAGCUUAACUUAGGAAUUGCAUUCGAUACUGGUCAGCUAGAGUAUGGGAGAGGAUGGUAGAAUUCCAGGUGUAGCGGUGAAAUGCGUAGAGAUCUGGAGGAAUACCGAUGGCGAAGGCAGCCAUCUGGCCUAAUACUGACGCUGAGGUACGAAAGCAUGGGGAGCAAACAGGAUUAGAUACCCUGGUAGUCCAUGCCGUAAACGAUGUCUACUAGCCGUUGGGGCCUUUGAGGCUUUAGUGGCGCAGCUAACGCGAUAAGUAGACCGCCUGGGGAGUACGGUCGCAAGACUAAAACUCAAAUGAAUUGACGGGGGCCCGCACAAGCGGUGGAGCAUGUGGUUUAAUUCGAUGCACGCGAGA